GUGAAGGAGGAGACUGAUAGCAGCUUUCCAUUAACUGCUGCUCCUAUCAAGUAUGUUGCUCAGAAGCGGAUUGUUAAAGAAGAAGAUUCUUUAGACCAAAGACCUCGUGCCGACCUUAAUCAGCCAAGUCCCCCUCACUUAAAGGAGGAAGAGAAGGGAGUCUACAUCAGUCUGCCAGGAGAGGAGCUCAAUGGGAAGGAGGUGAUUAAUGCCAUCAGGUUUCCAGUUGCUGCUCCAAUAAAGACUCUGGAUGAAGAGUCUCUGCUGCUCUCACAGCUUCAUCCAGACCAACUUAAAGGCAGAGAGCUUCCAGAGGAGAAAGAUGGAGAAGAAUCCGUCAAGAUACAAGAUCAUGGAGAUGCUUCCAUUUCUUUAGAGUCUGAGAAGGAUGAAGAGGACAGUGAUGUAGAACACAGUCUCUCAGAACUGAAAUGCUCGUCAGACUCUGGAUAUAAGAAAUGUUCUACAGAGAAGAAAAAUGUGGACUC